UCGGACAUCACCAGAAAAGCCGUUUGUGGGGCGCAUCAAACCAAAACCAGACGUCUGUGAUCGAAACCACUGUGAAGAGUUCAGUUUCUAUGUUUAUUAUCUAGCUCAUAUCUGAUGGUGAAACGGUGUGCGUGGGGUACCUGUAAUUUCGGACACCAGGUACCCUGAAAGACUGGAUGGAGGAGUAUAUUUCGUACCUUUUCCGAAGCCCAAAAGAAAACUCGACAAAUGCAAGCGGUGGAUUAUGCUGUGUCGUCGACCACAUACACAACUGAAUGUGAAGACAGUUAUCAAGGACACUUAUGUUUGCUCAAAGCACUUCAGAGAUGGGAAGCCAACUCUGGAAUAUCAGAUCCCAUCCGGGCUCUCGUGUGUGCUGCUCCGAAAAGACACAGACCCUCACCCAAAAGAAGAUCUGCAUGGGAGACGAUGGCGCGAUGCAGAGCGCUGUCUGUGAUUGUGCACAGGAGAUGUACAAAUGCAGCCACGCUGCAGCAUUGGCAAUAUUUGCCAUGUGGCAGAUCAGCU